rnacentral:lncRNA from 1 species
ACACGCUUCCUGGGAGACCCGGCUGCAAGGCCAGGCUAAUGCGCGCUCCGACGUCUCUGUGCCAAGCCGGGGCGCAAGCUCAACCCCCAUCUCAAGUUCAGCCGCGCUUCCUCCCGCAAGGUCACGCUUAAACACUCGCGCAGAGAAAGGAGGAGCGGAAAGUUGCGCCACCGUCCCGAUUCCAAACUAACUGUACCCUCACCAGAGCGCCUCGCCCCAGGGUCACCGCUGUCCGUCCCCGUGCGCUCCCAGAAGGGGUGGCCCUGCCCCCACGCAGGUCACACACACGAGAGACACAGGCAAGUUGCUAACUUUUGUCAGAUUAUUUCUUGGGAGCUGCGACGCCUCACGGGGUUGGGGCGGAUUCAGAGUUUCGAGUUGCCACUAACACGACUCCGGCCGUGCUCUCCUUGGCCCACCCGCGUCCCCCACUGUCCGCCACGCCGCGUUCAGCUCUCUUGUCCCGGGUGUCAACUUCACCCCCAGAUCCGGAGCAGCGCGCUCUGACGGCGUCCCCGGGGCCGAUAGCCACCUCCCGGAUCUGCGCCUGCUUGCAGCGGAUUGGGGGACUCGAUCCGGAUACUGUCCCACGGCCGCUCGUCCAGAACACUGGCGGCCUCCGCGGUGUCCCAGCCUGUGACCCCAAAUCCGCUCGAGAGCGCCUGAGCCCGGCCACCCAGCGAGGUCUCCUCCCACGGGCGGCCCCAGCGGAGGAGAUCCCAGCCCGGCGCCGGGUGCAAUGUCACUGGGGCUGCUUUCGGGAACCGCUGCCCGGGACUUGGCGUAGGUUCCCCACAGAGCUCCAGGCAGCUCCUCCAGUGUCGGCCGAAGACCCCUAAGCCCGAACCUCCACCCCGACCUUCUUCCUCUCCCAAAGCCCUGGGUGGUCGCCGCUGCCAAGGAAGGGGUCUCCCUUCGAAUGUCUUCCACUAGAAUCCCGGGGUCUUCAGUCCCAGCUCCACUGUCACACCCUCCUAGUCCCCUCCCCACCCCUUCAGUUCCCGGGUCCAGACAAUCAACCUUCCACUCCGAGAAUCCACAGGAAACUGCCCGAGCCCCAACUCAGGCGGACGCAGCCCCCGCGCACCCCGAGCAGGGUUCGCCUCCGCGCGCGCACUCACCACGGCUGGAGACACGCUGGAGUUUCCGGGAUUUGGGCAUGAAGGGGUUCGGAGGAGAAUACAGGGGUGUGGGUGUCCCGGACACUUGCCCCCUUCCCAGCUCACAUCGCCUCUUCCUUCUCUCUCCGCUCUUCUUCCUCCUCCUCCUCCCUCCGGUCUAGGGCUCUUUGUCUUUGCAAAGUGUCGAAACUGUCUGGCAUAGUGGGCUCCGCCGGCGGAGGCUGGAGCCGAGGAAGCGAGGAGGCGGGAUGAGGGUGGGAGAGGGCUCGGGAACACCUUCCCCCGGGUGUAACGGGAGUGAAAGGCGGGGCGACCGAGGAGGGGCCGCCUUCCCUGGCCGGCCGGGGCCGGGUGCCAGGGCGCGCCAGAGCCCAGCCACCGCCUCCCCUGCGCGCGGCCCUCCCCUUCCUCCGCCCAGUGCCCGCCCCUCCCGACUCUGCGCCUCCGUUCGGCCCCGCCCACCCCAACUUGGCUCGGCUUUCCCUUGGCUCCGGGCUUCCUGCAAGCCGAAUUUAGCUCUGCCAAGCCACGUGGACCGCAGCGGGCUCGGCAGAGGCCGAGCCUGGGAGACGCCGGAGGCGGCGGCUGCGGCGCGGGGACCUGAUCGGCGCCCCGAGAGGAGCUCCCCGCUCUCUGGACGCGGCCCUCAAGCUGGCGGGGCUAAGGAAGAGCGCCCGGGAGGCCCGGGAGCCACUGGGGUCCGUUUCAGCAGGAAGACGGGCACGCACCGAGAGGAUGGCAGUGCCCAGAAGAACUCGAGUCGGGGGCACGGUGGGGAGAAGGGGCCGAUCCCCUGCUGGCGACCGGGCAGAGCCACCCACUUCCUCUAAGGGCGCGGGACUCGAGGUGGGAUUUAGGGAGGGGGAAGGGAGGAGCGUGGGCUGGACGACUCUUGCGGCCAGAACCGCGUUCAGAGCCACAGAGCCGGGCACUGCGGCCGGCCCUGGUCCCGGCCCCGGCCCUGGCCCAGCCCUUGCCCUGGCUCGCCUGCCGCCGCUUUUUCCUUCCAGAUGCGGAGGCUGCGGCUGGAGCUUGGGGUUUGCGGAUUAGGCUUGCAGUUAUUCAGCCCUCCCUCUUUUACAGGGAAGCGGGGGCGGUGGAGACUUCUUUUGCUGAAAGGCAGAGUGCAGCGCUUUGAUGCUAAAUGCAGUACACAAGUCAUGUAAAUCUGGUUUUACGGUUCUUAACCCCUUACUGAGACUACCUCUUUCGCAACUUUUCGGAGGAAUGUUAGAGGAAAGAGGCACAGUUUGCCUUUGGGGUCAUUGCAUCCUUCCAGCGCCCCUUGCUCCAGCUGGAGAGAGAUCAACCUUUUGCAGUGGAAGGGGAGAGUCCCCCAGCCUUUGUUUCAUCAGACGGCUGCUGUAGUACAGGGAUUCAGGCCAGGGCCCGCAUGGCCGGACUUCUUGGUUCAAAUCCUGCACUGCCACUCAACGGAUGUGUGAGCUUGGGCUAGUGACUGAACCUCCCAGCCUAGGUGACUCUGUGCCUCGGUGUCCUCAUCUGUGAGAACCGACCUAAGAAGUGUCUGUCUGAUAAAGCUGUUGUGAUGAGUUAGUGAAUUCGUACACAUAGAACCUUUAGAACUGUCUUUGACAUGUAGUAAGUCAGCUGUGUAGAUGGUGGGUUUCUCCAGUGUCAGGUCCCUGCCCACAGCAGGAAGAUGACCUGUGCUAGAAGAUGGGGGCUAGGGUGUUGGGGAAGACUUCAGGGACUUGGGAGAGAAAAGGAGAAAUAUUCAGAGAUGAGAAAAGUAGAAGAAAAACCAGCUUUUAAAAGGGGGAGGAGAGAGAAUGAGAAAAAUAACUACUAGAAAGGGAAGGAAAAGAUGAAUAGCCUUUUAGGUACUUCGGGACCUGCUCUGAGACCUCUUGCCUGACGCCCUUGGUUUUUGAUAGAAUUCUAGAGAAGGGGUGAGCCCUUUUGUCUGCCUGGACACAUCCUGUGGGCUUUCCUCUUUCUGAAACUCAGGUCAAGGUGUUCACUGCAUCUCCAGAUUGCUUGUGUGCAUGGGAGGAGGGGGGCAGAGAGUUCUGCUUACAUCGGCUACUGUCCCCUCCACCAGCAGCGUCUUCCAGCAAAGAAGAGCUUCUAACAUGCACCAGACUUUUAGCUUUGGCUGGGAAUAUCGUCUGGGCCAAUAAAGAGUUUUUGGAUGAAAUAA